CUAGGUGGAUGGUUGAUCAACUGGAGCCACCAUCCAUUUGGGCUUAGGAGGUGCCCGAGAUACUGUUGGCCCCAUGUUGAUCAACUCUGGCCCGGGCAUAGGAGGUGCCUGAGAUACUGUCAGCCCCUGGUUGGUUAGCUCUGAAUCGACAAUCGUGAUGGCAUCAUGAUUGCCUGGUUGCCUAAUUGAUGAAAGAACUUUGACUGGUGGUAGGGCCACUGGAGCCGAUAGGGCA
rnacentral:lncRNA from 1 species